AGCAAAGCCUGGCCAAAUGCGCAGGACUUAAGAUCCUGUCCCUUAGUGGGUUCGAGGGUUCAAAUCCCUU
rnacentral:tRNA from 1 species